rnacentral:rRNA from 1 species
UACGUAGGUGGCAAGCGUUGUCCGGAUUUACUGGGCGUAAAGGAUGCGUAGGCGGACAUUUAAGUCAGAUGUGAAAUACCCGAGCUUAACUUGGGUGCUGCAUUUGAAACUGGGUGUCUAGAGUGCAGGAGAGGUAAGUGGAAUUCCUAGUGUAGCGGUGAAAUGCGUAGAGAUUAGGAAGAACACCAGUGGCGAAGGCGAGUUACUGGACUGUAACUGACGCUGAGGCAUGAAAGCGUGGGGAGCAAACAGG